UACAGAGGUGGCAAGCGUUGUUCGGAAUUACUGGGCGUAAAGGGCGCGUAGGUGGCCUUCUUAGUCAGACGUGAAAUCCCCAGGCUUAACCUGGGAACUGCGUCUGAUACUGGAAGGCUUGAGUUCGGGAGAGGAAUGUGGAAUUCCAGGUGUAGCGGUGAAAUUCGUAGAUAUUCGGAAGAACACCAGUGGCGAAGGCGACUUACUGGACACAUAUUGACGCUGAGGUGCGAAAGCGUGGGGAGCAAACAGG
rnacentral:rRNA from 1 species